rnacentral:rRNA from 1 species
AGUGAGCGCUGGCGGUAGGCCUAACACAUGCAAGUCGAACGGCAGCACAGUAAGAGCUUGCUCUUACGGGUGGCGAGUGGCGGACGGGUGAGGAAUACAUCGGAAUCUACUUUUUCGUGGGGGAUAACGUAGGGAAACUUACGCUAAUACCGCAUACGACCUACGGGUGAAAGCAGGGGAUCUUCGGACCUUGCGCGAUUGAAUGAGCCGAUGUCGGAUUAGCUAGUUGGCGGGGUAAAGGCCCACCAAGGCGACGAUCCGUAGCUGGUCUGAGAGGAUGAUCAGCCACACUGGAACUGAGACACGGUCCAGACUCCUACGGGAGGCAGCAGUGGGGAAUAUUGGACAAUGGGCGCAAGCCUGAUCCAGCCAUACCGCGUGGGUGAAGAAGGCCUUCGGGUUGUAAAGCCCUUUUGUUGGGAAAGAAAAGCAGCAGGUUAAUACCCCGCUGUUCUGACGGUACCCAAAGAAUAAGCACCGGCUAACUUAGUG